rnacentral:lncRNA from 13 species
AUCAAUCCUCAGGUUGUUUUUAAAAUAGAUAAUCGAUAAUAUAUCAACCGCAAAUGUCUUUCACAGUAGGAGAGGGAAAAGAGCAAAACUCAUGUGACCACAUGACGCGAUGUUAUUGUUCUGGCUCAUUUUUCAAAAUAAAAGCCUGAAACUAUGUCUGAAGACUGUUGACACCUUGAGGAAGCAAUAGGAAUCUGGUUGAUAUCCCUUUAAAUGGAGCAAUGGGAGGCUAUGGAACAUGGAGUUUAAAAUAGAAGCCACUUCCUGGUUUGAUUUUUCUCAGGGUUUCGCCUGCAAUAUCAGUUCUGUUAUACUCACAGACAAUAUUUUGACAGUUUUGGAAACUUUGGAGUAUUUUCUAUAAUCUAUCUAAUUAUAUGCAUAUUCUAGCAUCUGGUCCUGAGAAAUAGGCCGUUUACUUUGGGAACGUUAUCUUCUCACAAGUGGACAUUUUGUUUCAAAUUCCCAUUUUGGGGAUUUAGGAGUUCGGCCACGUGAAAUCCUUUGUUCUCUCUGUGUCUCUCUCUCUGCAUGUCCAGGGGGAGAGAGUCUCCUCCAGGAAUUUAUGGCCUGAGAUAACAGAACCUGGGUGUAGGACAGAGUGAGAGAGAGGGGGAAGCCACGAUCUAUACCCGGAAAGGGCCACGUCAUGACACUGUUGGUUGACAACUUUUCCAUCUAAAUUAAUCUUUAUCAGGUCCAGUAAUGUAUUCGUACAUAGUGAUUUAAUGGAUUAUCUGAUUGUGCAGAGGGAUGAUGAGCCGCGCCGGUAUCCCUGAGAGGGUUACAGCUGCUGCUGGGCUGUCCUUCUUUCAUUUGAUGCGUCACCAGUGAUUGACAGGCGGUCACUCUCUGGAGGAGGCUCUAGUGGACUCCUCAAGGACCUGUGAAGAGAGAGAGAGAGAGGUCAGAGUGGACUCCUCAAGGGCCUGUGAAGAGAGAGAGAGAGGUCAGAGUGGACUCCUCAAGGACCUGUGGAGAGAGAGGUCAAAGUGGACUCCUCAAAGACCUGUGAAAAGAGAGAGUUCAGAGUGGACUCCUCAAGGACCUGUGAAAAGAGAGAGAGGUCAACGUGGACUCCUCAGGGA